rnacentral:rRNA from 1 species
AUUGAACGCUGGCGGCAGGCUUAACACAUGCAAGUCGAGCGAGCGGAGGACGGGUGAGUAAUGUAUGGGGACUGCCCGAUAGCGGGGGAUAACUACCGGAAACGGUGGCUAAUACCGCAUACUAUCGGAUAACCCAUAUGGUAUUAGCUAGUAGGUGGGGUAAAGGCUCACCUAGGCGACGAUCUCUAGCUGGUCUGAGAGGAUGAUCAGCCACACGGUGACUGGGACACGGCCCAUACGUAUACGGAGAGAGCGUUGGUGAAUAUUGCAGAAUGUGCGCAAGCCUGAUGCAGCCAUGCCGCGUGUAUGAAGAAGGCCUUAGGGUUGUAAAGUAAUUUCAGCGGGGAGGCGUUACCCGCAGAAGAAGCACCGGCUAACUCCGUGCGAGCAGCCGCGGUAAUAC